rnacentral:rRNA from 1 species
CGCGGCCUAUCAGCUUGUUGGUGGGGUAACGGCCUACCAAGGCGACGACGGGUAGCCGGCCUGAGAGGGCGACCGGCCACACUGGGACUGAGACACGGCCCAGACUCCUACGGGAGGCAGCAGUGGGGAAUAUUGCGCAAUGGGCGAAAGCCUGGCGCAGCGACGCCGCGUGGGGGAUGAAGGCCUUCGGGUUGUAAACCCCUUUCAGCAGGGACGAAGCGAAAGUGACGGUACCUGCAGAAGAAGCGCCGGCUAACUACGUGCCAGCAGCCGCGGUAACACGUAGGGCGCAAGCGUUGUCCGGAAUUAUUGGGCGUAAGGAGCUCGUAGGCGGUUUGUCGCGUCUGCUGUGAAAACCCGAGGCUCAACCUCGGGCCUGCAGUGGGUACGGGCAGACUAGAGUGCGGUAGGGGAGAUUGGAAUUCCUGGUGUAGCGGUGGAAUGCGCAGAUAUCAGGAGGAACACCGAUGGCGAAGGCAGAUCUCUGGGCCGUAACUGACGCUGAGGAGCGAAAGCAUGGGGAGCGAACAGGAUUAGAUACCCUGGUAGUCCAUGCCGUAAACGUUGGGAACUAGAUGUGGGGACCAUUCCACGGUCUCCGUGUCGCGGCUAACGCAUUAAGUUCCCCGC